rnacentral:lncRNA from 1 species
CCAACAUUAAAAAGAUCAAGUCAAAUCUUGAUAACAGUGUGUGAGGAAGCUGGAUGUUUUCAAUAGUAGUCUUUUUUGGAUUCCAUUGUGAUUCUAUAGGGUUAGCUGCUGCUAGAACAGAUGUACGAGCAUUCAGUUGACAAAUGAUUCCGGCCUUUGCAAUGGAGAGAGUCUGUUGUUCCAUUACUUCAUGAAGUACUGAUCUUGUGCUUUCAUUCAUUUUAUCAAACUCAUCAAUGCAGCAAAUGCCAUUAUCACUGAGUACUAAAGCGCCUGUCUGAAGAACCAGCUGCCGAGUUUCUGGAU